ACAUGUGGCUACAAAAAUAUGUUGUAAUGCUCCAGAAUUAAUAUAUAGGGGAUUUUACGGAAAGUAAACUGAAUACCUGCUUUGGAAGACUAUAUACAAAAGGUUGGAAAUGAUAAAGUAUUAUAGAUUGGUCUAUACUAUGAGGCUUUAAAAUGAAGUUAUUGAUGAAGUUCAUUUUUAGACUAUGGGUAACAGAAUUAUGUACAGACAGAGUAUUAAACUUCAACAACUAUUUUGUGUCAUGGACUCAUGGGCAGUUACAGAAAAAAAACUUUCUUGGGAUAUACUCCAUCUGUUUCAGAAAGAUACAUAUUCUAGAAAAAAAAAUUUGUUUCAAAAUACAUUUUUUGUAUUUCUAAUGCAUUUUUAUUAACUAAUAAUGAUUAAUUGUAAACUUCAAAAAAAUUAAUUGCAUUUUUUGAAUUUUUAUUGGUUUAAAAUUAUAGAACAUAGAUAAUCACAGAAAAUUAUGCAAUUAAUAUUGAAAUUUAAUAUGUUUUAUUAAUCUGUGUGAAAAAAAACUAAAACAUGUAUCAUUUUGAAACGGGAUGAGUAUAGCGUAUAGGUCAUUAAACAUACCAAUAUUUCAGUAAUUCAAGUAAAUCCAAACAUACUAUAUUUUAGCGACAAAGAAAAUCUGUUUUUCAAAGCCUGAUUACAAAAAAAAACGAAAAUCUGUUUUUUGGUCAACAGAAAAUCUAAAUAUUAUAGGAAAUUAAAUAUAUGGAGAUUUUGUUUUGUCAACAUAUGGAAAUUACAUCUGCUGGCCAAAGAAUUCCAAAAAUAGAUUAUAUCAUAUAUAUAAAUAUAUACACUCAAGUGUUUUUCAACUAUUCAAUUAUUUUUCAUUCCCAAAUUCGAGAAAAAAAACUAGUUAAAAAAUGGCUUCAUACAAAUGUUUCGUUUUUGUGUUGUUGUGCCUAACCGUUCCCUUGAUCUCUUGUGCUGCGGAUACUUGCGAUUCACCCAGACAUGGUCUUUUUGUGAUAGGUCCUUGCUCAAAAAUUCCAAACUGCAAUAAUAAAUGCGUAGAAUUGCACUUUUCUGGCGGAGAAUGUUUUAAACAGUCCAGCAGCGCCACCGUACUAUCAUGUGGCUGUUGUGUAUAAAUUCAUAAUGUUAUCGAGAUAUUAAUUGUAUUGUGGAAGUGUUGGUGCUUUAAUUAAUAAAAAUAUAUAUUGUACUACUA